UACGUAGGGCGCAAGCGUUGUCCGGAAUUAUUGGGCGUAAAGGGCUCGUAGGCGGUUUGUCGCGUCGGGAGUGAAAGACCCCGGCUCAACUGGGGAGUGUCGUGCGAUACGGGCGAACUGGAGGCCAGUAGGGGGAUGCGGAAUUCCGGGUGUAGUGGUGGAAUGCGUAGAGAUCCGGAGGAACACCAGCGGCGAAGGCGGCAUCCUGGACUGGUCCUGACACUCAGGAGCGAAAGCGUGGGGAGCGAGU
rnacentral:rRNA from 1 species